rnacentral:rRNA from 1 species
UAAAACGUAGGAGGCGAGCGUUAUCCGGAUUUACUGGGCGUAAAGCGUGUGCAGGCGGUUUGAUAAGUUGGAUGUGAAAGCUCCUGGCUUAACCGGGAGAGGUCGUUCAAAACUAUCAGACUAGAGAGUGGUAGAGGGAGAUGGAAUUCCGCGUGUAGUGGUGAAAUGCGUAGAUAUGCGGAGGAACACCAGUGGCGAAAGCGGUCUCCUGGCCCAUUUCUGACGCUCAGACACGAAAGCUAAGGUAGCAAACGGG